GCUCCGGUGGUCUAGUGGUUAUAGCGUUCGCAUUAAAUGCGGGAUGCGGAAGGUCGUGGGUCCGAGCCCCGGCUGAGACA